GUGGGGAAUAUUGCACAAUGGGCGCAAGCCUGAUGCAGCGACGCCGCGUGCGGGAUGACGGCCUUCGGGUUGUAAACCGCUUUUGAUCGGGAGCAAGCCUUCGGGUGAGUGUACCUUUCGAAUAAGCACCGGCUAACUACGUGCCAGCAGCCGCGGUAAUACGUAGGGUGCAAGCGUUAUCCGGAAUUAUUGGGCGUAAAGGGCUCGUAGGCGGUUCGUCGCGUCCGGUGUGAAAGUCCAUCGCUUAACGGUGGAUCUGCGCCGGGUACGGGCGGGCUGGAGUGCGGUAGGGGAGACUGGAAUUCCCGGUGUAACGGUGGAAUGUGUAGAUAUCGGGAAGAACACCAAUGGCGAAGGCAGGUCUCUGGGCCGUUACUGACGCUGAGGAGCGAAAGCGUGGGGAGCGAACAGGAUUAGAAACCCCAGUAGUCC
rnacentral:rRNA from 1 species